GCCCUCAAUGCAAAGUUUUGAGAGUAACAACUUCAACCAAACUUCUUUAAGACCAACGGCUGAUGCAGUACGCAAAAUUUCAAACAGAAUGGGCAACCCUUGCUCUGAACAUAAAUCGGUAAGCAGUCCAUCCGUACCAUCACAGCAAGUGUAAAUGACCAUACAUAAAGGAUCACAUAUUUCCUGGUUUCUAACUCUAGCAAUCUUCAAGAACUUAUGAGGAAACAAUUGGUACCACACAUCACAUUGACGUUCUCCUCCACCCACUGAGUAGUUUCCUA
rnacentral:misc_RNA from 1 species